AGUGAACGCUGGCGGUAGGCCUAACACAUGCAAGUCGAACGGCAGCACAGUAAGAGCUUGCUCUUACGGGUGGCGAGUGGCGGACGGGUGGGGAAUACAUCGGAAUCUACUUUUUCGUGGGGGAUAACGUAGGGAAACUUACGCUAAUACCGCAUACGACCUACGGGUGAAAGCAGGGGAUCUUCGGACCUUGCGCGAUUGAAUGAGCCGAUGUCGGAUUAGCUAGUUGGCGGGGUAAAGGCCCACCAAGGCGACGAUCCGUAGCUGGUCUGAGAGGAUGAUCAGCCACACUGGAACUGAGACACGGUCCAGACUCCUACGGGAGGCAGCAGUGGGGAAUAUUGGACAAUGGGCGCAAGCCUGAUCCAGCCAUACCGCGUGGGUGAAGAAGUCCUUCGGGUUGUAAAGCCCUUUUGUUGGGAAAGAAAAGCAGCAGGUUAAUACCCCGCUGUUCUGACGGUACCCAAAGAAUAAGCACCGGCUAACUUCGUG
rnacentral:rRNA from 1 species